rnacentral:misc_RNA from 1 species
AUACAGAGUGGAGGGCUCGUUCGGACAGCGUUGCUGCCGCGUGCUAUACGAAAGCGGGAAGGAGAGGGUGGUCGCGGCGGAGAUAAAGAGGAAGAUGGACACGUCGGCGCACGGGAUGGGGCGGGACGUGUUUUGCUUGUUUGUGAAGCCGGGAUUCGAUGCAGCUCUUCUCAUGGGGAUUGUGGUGGUUCUCAAUCAGAUAUGUGGGGACGCCGACGACGCCGAUUAUACCCCCGAUGAAG